ACCCUUGAGGAUGUAGCUCAGUGGUAGA
rnacentral:piRNA from 1 species